UAGACAUCGUGCAAGCAACCCACAGUGGCACUCUCUUCAUGUGAGGCGGAGUUCAUGGCAGCUACGGAAGCUGCAAAACAAGCAAUAUGGUUGAAGGAGUUAAUGGCCGAGAUCAUGAACAAAGAAGACAAGAAGGUCGUGUUGAAAAUUGACAACAAGUCAGCAAUUGCUCUCACCAAGAACCCGGUGUUUCACGGUAGAAGCAAACACAUACUCGCGAAGUACCAUUUCAUUCGAGAAUGUGUGGAGUUCAACUUUAUCGAAGUGAAGCACGUACCUGGAGUGGAGCAGAAGGCAGACAUACUCACUAAACCAUUGGCAAGGAUCAAGUUCGAAGCAAUGCACAAGUUCAUUGGAGUUCAGAAGAUCAACAUACCUAAGAUUCAAGUUGGAAUUAAGGGGGAGAAUGUUGGAUAAUUCCAAGUAACUUGAGGAGCAAGUUAACUCAUUAAAGUGAAGUUUGAUGGGUUAAAGAAAAAGGAAAACAUAUCAUGCUUAGGAAUGUUUCCAUAUUAUUAUUAGGAAAAGAUGUAGCUUCGUCCUUAAGAAAAGAUGUAGCUUUUUCCUAUAUAAAGAGUUCUCAUGGAGAGAUAUUCCAUCAAGAGAAACACAUUGAAAGGUUUAGUUUUGAGAGAGUUUCUAAAUCUAAUAAGAAGUGCUAGUUCUUAUAAUCUUUGUGUUUGUGCAACUUUAAGUGUCUAGGGUCAAAGUCAAAGACCAUGACAACAAGUGUACUCUCUUUCUCCCUCCCAACACAGGUUCGAACCCCUCCUCUCACUCAAAAAGAUCACACCUUUCUUGCAUAUUCCAUUAAAUGCUUUAACGUCAGCGACUCGCGUCUUUCUUAGCCUGUAAAAAUAAGAAAGAAAGGAGUUGUUUAUGUGCAGUGCUUUAACCAUUUUUUUUUCCUAAGCCAACAGACGAUAUAGCUGUCUUCUCAUAAUGAACCCAAACAAAAACGAUAUUAACAUUUUAUAAAGUUCUUUUUUGAAAAAGACCAUGUAUUGUUAAAAGGAACAAACUUUGAAAGUAAAUUGUACGGUACUAAAAAUAAAAUUAGAGCUUGCACAAAAUACACUGUAAGAUAAAUUCGUAAAAAAAAACAUGAUAUACAUUCAAAAAGUAGUUUUUAAGAAAACACAAAAAGAUAUAUAAAAAAAUUACAAACGGCUUAAAACUUUUUACAUAUUCGAUUUACUUUGAAUCUUCUUUUAUGUUGGUAUUUGUCGUUAUGUGAAACUAAAAAGAGAGAGGGAGAGUAGAAAAAGUGACAGCUCAUGAGCGUUUUACUAUAGAUAAAGAGCUUCUUUAAAGUUUUCACUCGGUUGAAAAAAACAUUUACACAACGGGUAAGCGACAUAAGACCACCUAUGGGGGUGUUGGAAACACUUUAUCAAUUGUUGAAAGUGAUUUAAUGAAGGUGUUGAAAAAAUAUUGUUAUCUACGUAGUAUACUCAUCUGUUGUAAAGUUUUAACAGCUGAAAAAAAUAAAAUUAGAGUCUGCUUUGCCACGUGUCACAAAAUGGUUGGUUAGAACAUUUGGAGCGUGUGUACACGCGCAUGGAAUAUCACGAUUUCCUUUUUUUUAUUUUUUAAAUCUGGAUAAGAUUUAAAUAUUAUCUUCUGAUUGGCUGUGCAUAUUACUUUUGAUUUUUUUUCUCACCCAAUAAUUCAAACGUAAUUGUUAUAUAAUAAAACUUUUUUGAAAAAAAUAAAAAUUUUAUCAAAAUUCAAGAUUUUUUUUCUCUAUAAAUAAAGACCACUCUCAUCUCAUUUCGACAUAGAAAAAAAAUAUCAUUUUUAAUUAUAAUCAACUAUUUUGGUAUUUUAAACCUUUUUUUUGUUAAAUGGAUACCAAUAAUAAUCCUUUUAACACUCAAAACUCUUCUAAUUUUCUCUUUAAUUUCCAAAAUCUCAACAAUUAUCAAUUUCAUAACCAAACUUCCAACCAACCUCAAAAUUUGCCAAAUUAUGGUUUCUCACCAAAUUUCUUCAUGCCAUCAUCUGUCCCGAAUUAUCUUCCAAAUUGUAUUUUUAAAAAUAAAAUUAGGUAAAUAUCUAACUUAGAGAUGAAUAUAUGCUUAAUUUUAAUUAUUUUAUUAACAUUUAUUUUGUAUGAUUUAAAAGACAGCUAAAUAUAAUAAUUUAAAAUAAAUAUUAUUAAAGGUUAUGUUAUUUUAGUUUUAAAUUAAUUAUUAAUAUGUAAUUAUUAUAUUGUAAGAAAAAUAAAAUAAUCUGAAUAAAAAGUUGUGGGGUAGGGUGUUGAUAAUUUUAAAACAAAUCAUUGUAGAUGUUUAAAAUGAAGUGGGUGUUGAAUAAAUGAGGUGGAAGAAAGAGAAGAUGAUGUGGAAGGGGAAAAUAAGGGUGUUGAAAGUGAAGAGAGUGUUGAAACCAUUGUACAUAGCCUAAGCAAGCCAAACUCCAUUUUUUACAGAGAGAGAGAGAUCACACAAAGAGAAGAAGAAGAAGAGGAGACGAAGAGGAGAUGGCUGAGGCAAGAUUACUUGAUAUGUCGAGAGUUCCAUUCAUCCCAGGUCUCCCUUACUUUACUUGGUGCAAACACACAAUAAAGUUUUCUCCUAUCGAACACAAGGAGGAUACACGCGACCAACAACGAGUUCCAGAGAUACGGUCCGAAGGUUUUCAUGGAAAUCAAGAUUCUCGAAAACGACAACCUUUACGUCCGUGUCGACAUGCCCGGUGUUCCUGACGACGGGGUCCACCACAAAGUCGACUCCAUGAGACAAAAGGUUGUCUAUUUCUCCGGUGAAGAAACUCUCGGCAGCGACGGCGAUAAGGUUGACGACGACGUUCGUGAGUACUCCGGGACAGCCGGUUUAGGGUGUAACUGCUGCGAGAUAACCGGGGUGGAUGCGAAGAUGAAAGAUGGAGUCUUGAGGAUGAUUGUGUCUAGGGUCAAAGUCAAAGACCAUGACAACAAGUGUACUCUCUUUCUCCCUCCCAACACAGGCGUUUGUGGUGAUGAUAUGCUGGUGCUUCCCAAUGAGAACGAAGUCAAGUUCUAUGGUGAGAACAAGGAGGUGUGUGAGCACGAUGAGAGUUGCCGUAUCUUCAUGGGAGCCGUCAAGGGUUCUAGCUUUUGUGCUCCUGGAGUUCCACCUUUGAGCCACGACAUCGCUUGGGAUGCUGAGUUUGGUGUUCUCAAAGUGCGUGUCUCACCUCCUGGCAGCAACAUCAGCAGCGAGUAGUCAUGCUCUCAUCUCAUCUCUCUAUUUUGUGUCUUUCAUUUCAAAUGUCUAUCUUGUUUUAGUUUGGGAGAACUUUUGAUUCGCUACCAAGUCUUCAUGUUUUAAGCUGUGACAGUUAUGUGUGGUUUUUCGGAUGGCUUGCUUGCUGUCUACGUAUCACUUCCACACUCAAAACUAAAUGGGAUUGGAAUUCAAACCUAUAAUGUGUGCAAAGCUAUUGUAGUAAUACUAUUGAACAAAGGGCUAUAGUAACCUAAGGUCUUUGGAUAAGUCAUGAAUUUGUUAAGGUUGCUCGCUGGAACAGAGGUACACCGAGGAAGAAUGAAACAUCUAGUGCAGAGAAUUUUCCAGUUAGAAGCAAAACAUGAGAGAAAUGACCUAUGAAGAUUGAAUUGAAAAAUAUGCACCAAAAUAUAACAACUGAGAAAGGAAAAGGCUGUAGGGGAUCCUCAUGAGAAGUGUUUUCCUGAAGCAUUUUUAGAUCCAUGUUCUGAGGCUGAACUAUUAAUCUUGUCCAGUCCAAUUUAUGAAAACUCAAACCACUAUAUUCCACCACGUGACACGUCACGUCUAACUUGACAGUCAUAUGCUCAAUGUUAAUCUCCAGUAGUGGAACAUCAUUACUCCCUAAACGAAGAGCAUGUGACACGAAUGUAUUAUAGCCUCUAAGUUUUUAUCGACAAAACGUUAUUUGCUCCAAAGUGAAAGUAGAACACAGAGAAGUUCGGAUGUGCAACAAUAUAGUUUACCUUGUGUUAACUUUCAAAAAGUAGAAUCAUAAACGUUUCCAUUUGCCGAGAGAGUGGAACAUAAAAAAAAAAGGUGAUGAUCACAUCAUCAUGUGUAUCCCCUAUAUAUUAAUCCUAGAGCAUUACAACAUAUUUUCGUAUCCACGUAUCUUCACGAGAAUGAUUUUUAGAAUUGUUAGAAAAAUAACUUGGUCUAUAUAAACAUAUCCUAUGAUUUUUAUUAAACUAACUAUCAAAUUAAUUAGUAGUGUACAAAAAAUAUUUUUUUAUUUCCUUAAAUAAAAACUAUGGAAUUACCUAAUAUAGUUAAUAUAUAUAUGACACAUAAUGAUUACGAAUAAUACAUAUUUGAUAACAAUUUUUCAAACAACUCUCUUUUCUGUUUAAUUUUAUACUAUUAAAAAAAUAAACAAUCACAUUAAUCAUAAAUAAAAAAUUUAGAUUUUUUCUUAUAUGUUAUAUUUUGAAUUUUUUUAAAAGACUAUAAAUUACUAAAAAUGGUAAAAGUCUCACAUUGAAAAUUUUAUCAUCAAUGGUUUAACUUUUUUUUGUUCAAGCAAAAUAUAAAUGAUCAUAUAUCGUAGGGGUAGGCAUUUGGAUACACGUUCGGGUUCAUAUUCAGUAUUUCAGUAUAAAGUUAUAGAACCUAUUCGGGUAUUUUUAUAUUUCGAGUCGGGUUUGGGUAUUUUAUGUUCGGGUUCAGAUAUUUUGGGUUGGGUUCGGAUAUUUAAAUUUUGAAGAAAAAAUAAAUAAAUUAUUCAUUGUUUAAGUUUUUGUAUUUAAACUAUAUUUUAACUUAACUGGUUUUCUAAUUUUUAAAAGACUAAACUAUUAAUCGAUUAGAAAGACACAAAUUUAGUUUUUGUUUUGAAAAUUUAGAUGUAACUUUUGUUAAUGCAAGAAACAAGAGCUUGAUAUUUAUUUUAAAUUUUUAAGUGAGUAGCAAAUGACUUUGUCCAUAAUUAUAUGUAUAUUAUCUCAUUUUGAGCAAUAAUCAUUAUUAAUAUAAGUAAUUUGAAUAAAAUGAGAGAAGUAAACUAGAAAUAUAGGGUUAAGUAUACUUAUGUUUGGUUUUCUUCGGAUAUCCAUUCGGGUUUACCUGUUCGGAUUCAUAUAUUACCUGAACUGCUCAAAUAAAUAAUUUUUUUUGUUGUUCUUGAAUUAGAUGAUUUUCAGACCGAGCUGAUGAAUAUAUACUUGACAUACAUUUAUAUUUCGAGUCUGCACUUAUAUCCUAUAACAGCUUGAUAUAUUAGAUUUGAACACUAAUCUGUUAAUAUAAUUUUCCAAUGACUUUUUUUCAAAAUUUUGAUUCUUAGAUAUGUAUCUGGAGUGAAACUAAUUUUUACAGAUGUCUAUUUUUUUUUAAAUUGACACUUAUGUAAUUCACCGAAUUCAAAGAAGAAGUUAAAAAAAAACUUAACUCAUAUCAAUGAAACAAAGACGGGAACGAAAACAAAAUUUUAUAGAGGUAGAAAAUGAAAUCACUUAUGGAGAGUCAAUAGUAAACAGAUCGAGAUCAAAAAACCUAAUCCCCUUUCGUCAUUAUAUAUAAUCGAUGUUACCUAUUUGGUUUUGGUGAUUUGUGUCAGCCGCAAAACUUAAUUUUUUUGUGCAUAUGAAGUCUUAAGAAUAAUUAAAAUGAGAUGUAAUGCGUUAACUAUUCAACAACGAUAAUAUAUUUAAGAGACCAAUAUUUGUAUUCAUCAUUAUAUAAUCGAUAAAAAUUGUAGUCUUACAAAAUGUUAAAAAUAUUUAAUAAAUAAACAUUAUUAUAAAAACUCACUCCACGCAUGCGCGUGGAUUAUCACCUACUUCAUAUAGUAUAUAUGGUAUGCAUUGAUGAUUACUGACCUCUUAAUCAUAACAAUAGCAUAAUUUAAGCAUUUCAAUUAAAUAAUAUUUACUAUUCCUAAAUUAUAGCUAUCUAUCUAUUUAUAUAAAAUAGAGUUUCCUUCUCUCCUAUGAUGUCCACAUGGAAUUCCACUAAUUUGUGCAUCAUGCAUCUGACACAUGUCCCAUUUAUGAAACGCAGCGUGUCAUGUUUUGGCUUCCGCCCAGGCUUCACUUGGGCUUCGUCUCACGCUUUGUCAAGCGGCCCAGCGACGACCUAACUGAGCGCACACCCUAAUCGUUGGUGUGAUGAACACAUAUGCUCUUCGUUUCUCUUCGAACGGCCAUAUGCUCUUCUCUUAAUCGAGUCUGUUACAGAUCCAUCGCAUUAAACACCUUUUUAAAUCCAGCAACAACGAUUCUACUUUCAAUUCGAGUGUUGCUUCUGAAAGGCGUUCUAUAUGUGAGUAUAAAUAGAUAUGUCUUUCUCCUCUCAAAAUCAUAUUCUUCAUCUCUUGGAACAGUGAAAUAAAUUUUUUAAGAUGGCGGCCUCAUCUGUCCUCCUCAUAGAUUCUGGUUCGAUGUGGUAGAGAACGUCUAGAUCCGAUAAUCUUCGAUCUACACCAAUUAUAUUUGUGGUUCUUCCCAGAAAGAUCGAACCAAUUAAAAGAGAUAAACAAACAGUGAACCGAUGUUCCGGUGGCCGGAAGAAAGUUGUGUUGUCCGGAUUCAUGUACCGAUCCGGUGACAUUUAUGUGCUAAGAUGGAUUUUCCUCUGAGAAUGUUUACUCUUGUGUAAUUCGUUUUUUUUUUAAGAUUUUCCAGUUGUUUUUGCUCUCUGUGUAGUGUUUUAGAAGAUAAAUCUUUAAAAGGUGGAUUUAGUUCCAUGCGUGGUAGUUGUAUUCUUAUUGUGUUGUUAAUUAGUUUGGUUUAUAUGUUGGAUUUUGGAUAUUUAAGGUUCACACUAUGCUGCUACCUGCUAAUUUUGUUUGUCAAUAUGGAAAUUUAGUGUGUUAGAUGGAUUGUGUUGUACGUUUAUGAAAGCUUUCUAUUUUAUGAUCUCUAAGCUGGAGUUUUGAUGUUCUUUCUGGUCUUUUUAUUGUUGUAUCUGGUGAUGAUAUGAUACAAAAAGCCAAGAGGUAUGGGAUCUGCAUGUUUUCAAAAAGUGCAUAGGAAAAAACAGAGGUUGUCAGACAAGAGCUACAAGAAGGCUCACCUAAGAAAUAUAAGCCUUUGGCCGGAGCUUCUCACGCCAAAGGAAUCGUCCUUGAGCUCAUGUAAGACAUAGAAUAUGCUUCUUUAUCUGUUUUUCUUGUGUGUGGACAUUGUCGAUGAUGAGCGAUUCUCUGUCUGUUUGAUUAUGCAGAGGAAUGGAGGCUAAGCAGCCAUGCUCUGGUAUAUGUAAGUGUGCUAGAGUACAACUUGUCAAGAAUGGAAAGAAGGUUGCUGCUUUUGUCCCCAAUGAUGGUUGUUUGAACCUCAUUGAGCCAAAUGACGAGGUUUGAUAUCUGGAUUUGGGCGUAAGAGUCAUGCUGUGGGAGAUAUUCCAGGCGUAAGGUACAAGGCCGUCAAGGUUUCUGGUGUUUUACUCUCUGCUCUCUACAAGGACAAGAAGGAGAAGCCAAGGUCUUAAAACAAAACCUUCAAAGCUUUUGAAUUUUAUUUUUGAUGGCAUAAGCACUUUUCAGUUAAAUAAAAGAACUCUUGUAUUAUGUUCUACUUUGGGAUUCAAUAACUUGGUGUGUUAAAUCUUGUAUUCUGAUGACCAUUUGAGUUUAGUUUAUUCGACCUUGUAAUAUGUCAUUGCCAAUGGCAUGGAAUUCUAUUACUAAUCCAAAACAAGUGAUACAUAUCACUACAUAAUAUACUCAUUCGUAAUCUUGGCAAUUAUAAAAGUCAUAGAGAUAAACAAAAGUCACACAGCCAGCUUAUAAAUUGAAUAAGGUAGCCAAACAAGUUUAAGAUCAGAUCAGUGACCAAUCAAAACAGCCAGCUUAUAAAUUGAAUAAGGUAGCCAAACAAGUUUAAGAUCAGAUCAGUGACCAAUCAAAACAGACCAGAAACUAAACAGACCAUAUCUAAUAUACAUAAAUAAUUUUAUAAUCAAUUAUACAUUUUAACUCAUACAAAAUUUUAACAAUAAUCUAUUGUAAAAACUAAAUUUAAUAAAACAUAAGAUAAUCCACUAAAGUAUAUAAAAUUAAGCAAAAAAAUUAU